rnacentral:rRNA from 1 species
AACGAACGCUGGCGGCAGGCCUAACACAUGCAAGUCGAGCGAGAUCUUCGGGUCUAGCGGCGGACGGGUGAGUAACGCGUGGGAAUAUGCCUCUUGGUACGGAAUAGCCUCGGGAAACUGGGAGUAAUACCGUAUGUGCCCUUUGGGGGAAAGAUUUAUCGCCAAGAGAUUAGCCCGCGUUGGAUUAGGUAGUUGGUGGGGUAAUGGCAUACCAAGCCGACGAUCCAUAGCUGGUUUGAGAGGAUGAUCAGCCACACUGGGACUGAGACACGGCCCAGACUCCUACGGGAGGCAGCAGUGGGGAAUCUUAGACAAUGGGGGCAACCCUGAUCGAGCCAUGCCGCGUGAGUGAUGAAGGCCUUAGGGUUGUAAAGCUCUUUCAGCUGGGAAGAUAAUGACGGUACCAGCAGAAGAAGCCCCGGCUAACUCCGUG